rnacentral:rRNA from 1 species
AUUGAACGCUGGCGGCAGGCCUAACACAUGCAAGUCGAGCGGAUGAAGGGAGCUUGCUCCUGGAUUCAGCGGCGGACGGGUGAGUAAUGCCUAGGAAUCUGCCUGGUAGUGGGGGAUAACGUCCGGAAACGGGCGCUAAUACCGCAUACGUCCUGAGGGAGAAAGUGGGGGAUCUUCGGACCUCACGCUAUCAGAUGAGCCUAGGUCGGAUUAGCUAGUUGGUGGGGUAAAGGCCUACCAAGGCGACGAUCCGUAACUGGUCUGAGAGGAUGAUCAGUCACCGGGGACAUGAGACGCGGCCCAGCCCCCUAGGGGAGGCAGCGGGGGGAAAUUUGGAACAAGGGGCGAAAGCCUGACCCAGCCAGGCCGUGUGUGGAAAGAAGGUCUUCGGUUUGUAAAGCUUUUUAAGGGGGGGGAAAGGGAAGUAAGUUAACACCUUGUUGUUUUGACGUUACCAACAGAAAAAGCACCGGCUACUUUCGU